rnacentral:rRNA from 1 species
GAUGAACGCUAGCGAUAGGCCUAACACAUGCAAGUCGAGGGGCAUCACAUGAAGUAGCAAUACGGAUGGUGGCGACCGGCGCACGGGUGAGUAACACGUAUGCAACCUGCCUUCAACAAGGGGAUAACCCGUUGAAAGACGGACUAAUACCCUAUAACACAGGGGUCCCGCAUGGGGAUAUUUGUUAAAGGACAACCGGUUGAAGAUGGGCAUGCGUUCCAUUAGCUAGUUGGCGGGGUAACGGCCCACCAAGGCAACGAUGGAUAGGGGAACUGAGAGGUUUAUCCCCCACACUGGUACUGAGACACGGACCAGACUCCUACGGGAGGCAGCAGUGAGGAAUAUUGGUCAAUGGACGCAAGUCUGAACCAGCCACGUCGCGUGAAGGAAGACGGCCCUACGGGUUGUAAACUUCUUUUAUACGGGAAUAAAGUGCCCCACGCGUGGGGUUUUGCAUGUACCGUAUGAAUAAGGAUCGGCUAACUCCGUG